rnacentral:rRNA from 1 species
UACAGAGGUCUCAAGCGUUGUUCGGAUUCAAUGGGCGUAAAGGGUGCGUAGGCGGCGUGGUAAGUCGGGUGUGAAAUCUCGGAGCUUAACUCCGAAACUGCAUUCGAUACUGCCGUGCUUGAGGACUGGAGAGGAGACUGGAAUUUACGGUGUAGCGGUGAAAUGCGUAGAUAUCGUAAGGAAGACCAGUGGCGAAGGCGGGUCUCUGGACAGUUCCUGACGCUGAGGCACGAAGGCCAGGGGAGCAAACGGG